GUUAGGAAUAUUGGACAAUGGGCGCAAGCCUGAUCCAGCCAUGCCGCGUGAGUGAUGAAGGCCUUCGGGUUGUAAAGCUCUUUAGCCGAUGAUUAUAAUGACUGUAGUCGGAAAAUAAGCCCCGGCUAACUUCGUGCCAGCAGCCGCGGUAAUACGAAGGGGGCGAGCGUUAUUCGGAAUCACUGGGCGUAAAGCGUGCGUAGGCGGCUUUGUAAGUUGGGAGUGAAAGCCCAGGGCUCAACCCUGGAAUUGCUCUCAAAACUGCAAGGCUCGAAUUCGGGAGAGGAUAGCGGAAUUGUCAGUGUAGCAGUGAAAUGCGUAGAUAUUGACAGGAACACCAGUGGCGUAAGCGGCUAUCUGGACCGAUAUUGACGCUGAGGCACGAAAGCGUGGGGAUCAAACAGGAUUAGAAACCCCUGUAGUCC
rnacentral:rRNA from 1 species